AGAGUUUGAUCAUGGCUCAGGAUGAACGCUAGCUACAGGCUUAACACAUGCAAGUCGAGGGGCAGCAUGGUCUUAGCUUGCUAAGGCCGAUGGCGACCGGCGCACGGGUGAGUAACACGUAUCCAACCUGCCGUCUACUCUUGGACAGCCUUCUGAAAGGAAGAUUAAUACAAGAUGGCAUCAUGAGUCCGCAUGUUCACAUGAUUAAAGGUAUUCCGGUAGACGAUGGGGAUGCGUUCCAUUAGAUAGUAGGCGGGGUAACGGCCCACCUAGUCUUCGAUGGAUAGGGGUUCUGAGAGGAAGGUCCCCCACAUUGGAACUGAGACACGGUCCAAACUCCUACGGGAGGCAGCAGUGAGGAAUAUUGGUCAAUGGGCGAGAGCCUGAACCAGCCAAGUAGCGUGAAGGAUGACUGCCCUAUGGGUUGUAAACUUCUUUUAUAAAGGAAUAAAGUCGGGUAUGGAUACCCGUUUGCAUGUACUUUAUGAAUAAGGAUCGGCUAACUCCGUGCCAGCAGCCGCGGUAAUACGGAGGGUCCGAGCGUUAUCCGGAUUUAUUGGGUUUAAAGGGAGCGUAGAUGGAUGUUUAAGUCAGUUGUGAAAGUUUGCGGC
rnacentral:rRNA from 1 species